rnacentral:rRNA from 1 species
CAGGCUUAACACAUGCAAGUCGAGGGGCAGCAUGGUCUUAGCUUGCUAAGGCCGAUGGCGACCGGCGCACGGGUGAGUAACGCGUAUCCAACCUGCCUUACACUCUUGGACAGCCUUCUGAAAGGGAGAUUAAUACAAGAUGUUAUCAUGAGUAAGCAUUUUCGCAUGAUUAAAGGUUUACCGGUGUAAGAUGGGGAUGCGUUCCAUUAGAUAGUAGGCGGGGUAACGGCCCACCUAGUCUUCGAUGGAUAGGGGUUCUGAGAGGAAGGUCCCCCACAUUGGAACUGAGACACGGUCCAAACUCCUACGGGAGGCAGCAGUGAGGAAUAUUGGUCAAUGGACGAGAGUCUGAACCAGCCAAGUAGCGUGAAGGAUGAAGGUUCUAUGGAUUGUAAACUUCUUUUAUACGGGAAUAAACGGAUCCACGUGUGGAUUUUUGCAUGUACCGUAUGAAUAAGGAUCGGCUAACUCCGUGCCAGCAGCCGCGGUAAUACGGAGGAUCCGAGCGUUAUCCGGAUUUAUUGGGUUUAAAGGGAGCGUAGAUGGGUUGUUAAGUCAGUUGUGAAAGUUUGCGGCUCAACCGUAAAAUUGCAAUUGAUACUGGCAGUCUUGAGUACAGUUGAGGUAGGCGGAAUUCGUGGUGUAGCGGUGAAAUGCUUAGAUAUCACGAAGAACUCCGAUUGCGAAGGCAGCUUACUAACCUGUAACUGACAUUGAUGCUCGAAAGUGUGGGUAUCAAACAGGAUUAGAUACCCUGGUAGUCCACACGGUAAACGAUGAAUACUCGCUGUAGGCGAUAUACAGUCUGCGGCCAAGCGAAAGCAUUAAGUAUUCCACCUGGGGAGUACGCCGGCAACGGUGAAACUCAAAGGAAUUGACGGGGGCCCGCACAAGCGGAGGAACAUGUGGUUUAAUUCGAUGAUACGCGAGGAACCUUACCCGGGCUUAAAUUGCAACCGAAUAUGGCGGAAACGCUAUAGCUAGCAAUAGCGGUUGUGAAGGUGCUGCAUGGUUGUCGUCAGCUCGUGCCGUGAGGUGUCGGCUUAAGUGCCAUAACGAGCGCAACCCUUGCCGAUAGUUACUAACAGGUCAUGCUGAGGACUCUGUCGGGACUGCCAUCGUAAGAUGUGAGGAAGGUGGGGAUGACGUCAAAUCAGCACGGCCCUUACGUCCGGGGCUACACACGUGUUACAAUGGGGGGUACAGAGGGCUGCUACCACGCAAGUGGAUGCCAAUCCCAAAAACCUCUCUCAGUUCGGAUUGAAGUCUGCAACCCGACUUCAUGAAGCUGGAUUCGCUAGUAAUCGCGCAUCAGCCACGGCGCGGUGAAUACGUUCCCGGGCCUUGUACACACCGCCCGUCAAGCCAUGGGAGCCGGGGGUACCUGAAGUGCGUAACCGCAAGGAGCGCCCUAGGGUAAAACUGGUGACUGGG